GCUGGGAUAGCUCAGUCGGUAGAGCAGGAGACUGGAUCGUGGGGUUGUGGGUUCGAGCCCCAUGUUGGGCU